GAUGAACGCCGGCGGCGUGCUUAACACAUGCAAGUCGAACGAAGCACUUAGCUUGAUUUCUUCGGAUUGAUUGUUCUGUGACUGAGUGGCGGACGGGUGAGUAACGCGUGGGUAACCUGCCUCAUACAGGGGGAUAACAGUUGGAAACGACUGCUAAUACCGCAUAAGACCACGAGGCGGCAUCGCCUUGAGGUAAAAGAUUUAUCGGUCUGGGGUGAGCUCGCGUCCCAUUAGCUAGUUGGUGAGGUAACGGCCCACCAAGGCGACGAUGGGUAGCCGACCUGAGAGGGUGAUCGGCCACAUUGGAACUGAGAAACGGUCCAGACUCCUACGGGAGGCAGCAGUGGGGAAUAUUGGGCAAUGGGCGAAAGCCUGACCCAGCAACGCCGCGUGAGGGAAGAAGGGUUUCGGCUCGUAAACCUCUGUCCUAUGGGACGAAGAAGUGACGGUACCAUAGGAGGAAGCCCGGCUAACUACGUG
rnacentral:rRNA from 1 species